UACGGAGGAUGCGAGCGUUAUCCGGAUUUAUUGGGUUUAAAGGGAGCGUAGGCGGGUUGUUAAGUCAGUUGUGAAAGUUUGCGGCUCAACCGUAAAAUUGCAGUUGAUACUGGCAUCCUUGAGUACAGUAGAGGUAGGCGGAAUUCGUGGUGUAGCGGUGAAAUGCAUAGAUAUCGCGCAGAACUCCGAUUGCGAAGGCAGCGUACCGGCGCCAGACUGACGCUGAGGCACGAAAGCGUGGGGAUCGAACAGG
rnacentral:rRNA from 1 species